rnacentral:rRNA from 1 species
CAAUAGCGUAUAUUUAAGUUGUUGCAGUUAAAAAGCUCGUAGUUGGAUUUCGGUUAAGAGCGACCGGUCCGCCGUUUGGUGUGCACUGGUUGGUUUUAACUUCCUGUAGAGGACGUGCUCUGGGUUUAACGACCUGGACUCGGAGUCUACGUGGUUACUUUGAAAAAAUUAGAGUGUUCAAAGCGGGCUUACGCUUGAAUAUUUCAGCAUGGAAUAACACUAUAGGACUCCUGUCCUAUUUCGUUGGUCUCGGGACGGGAGUAAUGAUUAAGAGGAACAGUUGGGGGCAUUCGUAUUCCAUUGUCAGAGGUGAAAUUCUUGGAUUUAUGAAAGACGAACUUCUGCGAAAGCAUUUGCCAAGGAUGUUUUCAUUA